rnacentral:rRNA from 1 species
AGAGUUUGAUCAUGGCUCAGAUUGAACGCUGGCGGCAGGCCUAACACAUGCAAGUCGAGCGGUAGCACAGGAGAGCUUGCUCUCUGGGUGACGAGCGGCGGACGGGUGAGUAAUGUCUGGGAAACUGCCUGAUGGAGGGGGAUAACUACUGGAAACGGUAGCUAAUACCGCAUAACGUCUUCGGACCAAAGAGGGGGACCUUCGGGCCUCUUGCCAUCAGAUGUGCCCAGAUGGGAUUAGCUAGUAGGUGAGGUAAUGGCUCACCUAGGCGACGAUCCCUAGCUGGUCUGAGAGGAUGACCAGCCACACUGGAACUGAGACACGGUCCAGACUCCUACGGGAGGCAGCAGUGGGGAAUAUUGCACAAUGGGCGCAAGCCUGAUGCAGCCAUGCCGCGUGUAUGAAGAAGGCCUUCGGGUUAUAAAGUACUUUCAGCGAGGAGGAAGGCAUUGUGGUUAAUAACCGCAGUGAUUGACGUUACUCGCAGAAGAAGCACCGGCUAACUCCGUGCCAGCAGCCGCGGUAAUACGGAGGGUGCAAGCGUUAAUCGGAAUUACUGGGCGUAAAGCGCACGCAGGCGGUCUGUCAAGUCGGAUGUGAAAUCCCCGGGCUCAACCUGGGAACUGCAUUCGAAACUGGCAGGCUAGAGUCUUGUAGAGGGGGGUAGAAUUCCAGGUGUAGCGGUGAAAUGCGUAGAGAUCUGGAGGAAUACCGGUGGCGAAGGCGGCCCCCUGGACAAAGACUGACGCUCAGGUGCGAAAGCGUGGGGAGCAAACAGGAUUAGAUACCCUAGUAGUCC